rnacentral:rRNA from 1 species
UGGGGAAUAUUGCACAAUGGGGGAAACCCUGAUGCAGCCAUGCCGCGUGUGUGAAGAAGGCCUUCGGGUUGUAAAGCACUUUCAGUAGGGAGGAAGGGUUGAUGUCUAAUACGCAUCAACAUUGACGUUACCUACAGAAGAAGCACCGGCUAACUCCGUGCCAGCAGCCGCGGUAAUACGGAGGGUGCAAGCGUUAAUCGGAAUAACUGGGCGUAAAGCGCACGCAGGCGGUUAGAUAAGUCAGAUGUGA